rnacentral:rRNA from 1 species
AUGCCGUAAACGAUGAUUACUAGGUGUUGGGGGAUUGACCCCCUCAGUGCCGCAGUUAACACAAUAAGUAAUCCACCUGGGGAGUACGGCCGCAAGGCUGAAACUCAAAGGAAUUGACGGGGGCCCGCACAAGCAGUGGAGUAUGUGGUUUAAUUCGAAGCAACGCGAAGAACCUUACCAGGUCUUGACAUCGGAUGACAGCCCUAGAGAUAGGGUCUUUCUUCGGAACAUCCAGACAGGUGGUGCAUGGUUGUCGUCAGCUCGUGUCGUGAGAUGUUGGGUUAAGUCCCGCAACGAGCGCAACCCUUAUCGUCAGUUACUACGCAAGAGGACUCUGGCGAGACUGCCGUUGAUAAAACGGAGGAAGGUGGGGAUGACGUCAAAUCAUCAUGCCCUUUAUGACCUGGGCUACACACGUACUACAAUGGCGUUUAACAAAGAGAACCGAUACCGCGAGGUGGAGGAAAACUCAAAAACAACGUCCCAGUUCAGACUGCAGGCUGCAACUCGCCUGCACGAAGUCGGAAUUGCUAGUAAUCGCGGAUCAGCAUGCCGCGGUGAAUACGUUCCCGGGCCUUGUACACACCGCCCGUCACACCAUGAGAGCCGGGGGGACCCGAAGUCCGUAGCCUAACCGCAAGGAGGGCGCGGCCGAAGGUAAAACUGGUGAUUGGGGUG